ACACACCGCCCGUCGCUACUACUGAUUGGAUGAUUAAGCAAGAACUUCUGAAACUUGCAGUUGACGCUUCGUGCUGAGGCAGUGAGCGGAAGAGAAUCGAGCUUUGUUGUCUAGAGGAAGUAAAAGUCGUAACAAGGGMNNGGNGGGUUUUUCUAGCAUAACUAGACCCAUCAGCCCGGCACUGGUGGUAAAUGAUGAAUACUGAGUAACUGAAGGACCUUCAUACGCUAAUAUACAGCGGAAGGCGAUACAUUCGAAUAUCUGCCCUAUCAACUGUGACGGUAGUGUAACGGACUACCGUGGUUGUGACGGGUGACGGGGAAUCAGGGUUCGAUUCCGGAGAGGGAGCCUGAGAAACGGCUACCACUUUCAAGAAAGGCAGCAGGCACGCAAAUUACCCAAUGUCGGAACGACGAGGUAGUGACGAAAAAUAACGAUAUGAGCCCAUUGGGUUUGUAAUCGGAAUGGAGGAGAUUUACAAAAUCUCUUGAGGAUCUAGUAGAGGGCAAGUCUGGUGCCAGCAGCCGCGGUAACACCAGCCUCUACAAGCAUAUGCAAAAGUUGCUGCGUUUGAAAAGCUCAUAGUUGGAUCCGUAGUCUGUACGUGCUGAGUACGUGCCUGCCAUCGAGCGGCCCCGUACAUCUCGAUACUGGACUGUCCCUUCGUUAAGGGUGUUUGCACUUCAUUGUGUGAAUGCUCGGAGCGGAGUAUUUACCUUGAGUAAAUUAGAGUGCUCAAAGCAAGCUUAUGAUUGAAUAAUAAAGCAUGGAAUAAUGGAGGAGGCCUGCUCUCUAUUAUGGCGUCUGGUCGCUGGAGUAGCAGUAAUGGUUAAAAGGAACAGUCGGGGGUAUUUGUAUUGCUACGUUAGAGGUGAAAUUCUUGGAUCGUGGCAAGACAAACUAACGCGAAGGCAUUUACCAAGAAUGUUUUCAUUAAUCAAGAACGAAAGUCAGAGCAUUGAAGAGGAUUAGAUACCCUCGUAAUUCUGACCAUAAACGAUACCAACUUACGAUUUGUCAAAGUUCAUUCCUGACUUGGCAAGGAGUUAACCGGGAAACCAAAGUUUUUUGGCUCCGGGGGAAGUAUGGUUGCAAAAUCGAAACUUAAAGGAAUUGACGGAAGGGCACCACCAGGAGUGGAGCCUGCGGCUUAAUUUGACUCAACACGGGAAAACUCACCAGGUCCAGACAUCGAAAGGAUUGACAGAUUGAAUAUCUUUCAUGAUUCAAUGGGUGGUGGUGCAUGGCCGUUCUUAGUUAGUGGAGUGAUCUGUCUGGUUAAUUCCGAUAACGAACGAGAUCCUAGCCAUUUAAAUAGAAGUAGCAAAGUCGGUUGCUAGAGACUUCUUAGAGGAACUAUGCGGAACAUAAUACCGCAAGGAAGUGGGGCUAUAACAGGUCUGUGAUGCCCUUAGAUGUCCUGGGCUGCACGCGCGCUACACUGGAUACAGAAGAAUGAUUUUGUGAACCUGGUCCGAAAUGGUCUAGGUAAUCACGAAAAUGUAUAGCCUAUGAUUGGGAUAGACUCUUGUAACUAGUAGUCUUGAACGAGGAAUUCCUAGUAAUUUCAAGUCAACAACUUGAUGUGAUUACGUCCCUGCCCUUUGUACACACCGCCCGUCGCUACUACUGAUUGGAUGAUUAAGCAAGAACUUCUGAAACUUGCAGUUGACGCUUCGUGCUGAGGCAGUGAGCGGAAGAGAAUCGAGCUUUGUUGUCUAGAGGAAGUAAAAGUCGUAACAAGGGMNNGG
rnacentral:rRNA from 1 species